AAAUUGAAGAGUUUGAUCAUGGCUCAGAUUGAACGCUGGCGGCAGGCCUAACACAUGCAAGUCGAGCGGUAGCACAGAGAGCUUGCUCUCGGGUGACGAGCGGCGGACGGGUGAGUAAUGUCUGGGAAACUGCCUGAUGGAGGGGGAUAACUACUGGAAACGGUAGCUAAUACCGCAUAAUGUCGCAAGACCAAAGUGGGGGACCUUCGGGCCUCAUGCCAUCAGAUGUGCCCAGAUGGGAUUAGCUAGUAGGUGGGGUAAUGGCUCACCUAGGCGACGAUCCCUAGCUGGUCUGAGAGGAUGACCAGCCACACUGGAACUGAGACACGGUCCAGACUCCUACGGGAGGCAGCAGUGGGGAAUAUUGCACAAUGGGCGCAAGCCUGAUGCAGCCAUGCCGCGUGUGUGAAGAAGGCCUUCGGGUUGUAAAGCACUUUCAGCGGGGAGGAAGGCGAUAAGGUUAAUAACCUUGGCGAUUGACGUUACCCGCAGAAGAAGCACCGGCUAACUCCGUGCCAGCAGCCGCGGUAAUACGGAGGGUGCAAGCGUUAAUCGGAAUUACUGGGCGUAAAGCGCACGCAGGCGGUCUGUCAAGUCGGAUGUGAAAUCCCCGGGCUCAACCUGGGAACUGCAUUCGAAACUGGCAGGCUAGAGUCUUGUAGAGGGGGGUAGAAUUCCAGGUGUAGCGGUGAAAUGCGUAGAGAUCUGGAGGAAUACCGGUGGCGAAGGCGGCCCCCUGGACAAAGACUGACGCUCAGGUGCGAAAGCGUGGGGAGCAAACAGGAUUAGAUACCCUGGUAGUCCACGCCGUAAACGAUGUCGAUUUGGAGGUUGUGCCCUUGAGGCGUGGCUUCCGGAGCUAACGCGUUAAAUCGACCGCCUGGGGAGUACGGCCGCAAGGUUAAAACUCAAAUGAAUUGACGGGGGCCCGCACAAGCGGUGGAGCAUGUGGUUUAAUUCGAUGCAACGCGAAGAACCUUACCUGGUCUUGACAUCCACAGAACUUAGCAGAGAUGCUUUGGUGCCUUCGGGAACUGUGAGACAGGUGCUGCAUGGCUGUCGUCAGCUCGUGUUGUGAAAUGUUGGGUUAAGUCCCGCAACGAGCGCAACCCUUAUCCUUUGUUGCCAGCGGUUCGGCCGGGAACUCAAAGGAGACUGCCAGUGAUAAACUGGAGGAAGGUGGGGAUGACGUCAAGUCAUCAUGGCCCUUACGACCAGGGCUACACACGUGCUACAAUGGCAUAUACAAAGAGAAGCGACCUCGCGAGAGCAAGCGGACCUCAUAAAGUAUGUCGUAGUCCGGAUUGGAGUCUGCAACUCGACUCCAUGAAGUCGGAAUCGCUAGUAAUCGUAGAUCAGAAUGCUACGGUGAAUACGUUCCCGGGCCUUGUACACACCGCCCGUCACACCAUGGGAGUGGGUUGCAAAAGAAGUAGGUAGCUUAACCUUCGGGAGGGCGCUUACCACUUUGUGAUUCAUGACUGGGGUGAAGUCGUAACAAGGUAACCGUAGGGGAACCUGCGGUUGGAUCACCUCCUUACCUUAAAGAA
rnacentral:rRNA from 1 species